rnacentral:rRNA from 1 species
CGUCCAGCCCGCUCAGAAACUCAAAGGAAUUCGACGGGGCCCGCACAAGCGGUGGAGCAUGUGGUUAAUUCGAUGAUACGCGAGGACCUUACCUGGGCUCAAAUGUAUGUUGACGUAUUCUGAAAGGGAUACUUCUUCGGACAAUAUACAAGGUGCUGCAUGGUUGUCGUCAGCUCGUGCCGUGAGGUGCGGUUAAGUCCCAUAACGAGCGCAACCCUAUCAUUAGUUGCCAUCAGGUCAAGCUGGGGACUCUAAUGAAACUGCCUACGCAAGUAGUGAGGAAGGUGGGAUGACGUCAAAUCAGCACGGCCCUUACGUCCAGGGCUACACACGUGCUACAAUGGCCGGUACAAAGGGCAGCUACCUGGUGACAGGAUGCUAAUCUCAAAAGCCGGUCUCAGUUCGGAUCGGAGUCUGCAACCCGACUCCGUGAAGCUGGAAUCGCUAGUAACCGCGCAUCAGCCAUGGCGCGGUGAAUACGUUCCCGGGCCUU